rnacentral:lncRNA from 1 species
UUUCUUCUUCUUCUUCUUCUCAUCUCACGUUGCUUUCAUCCUCCAUGAAAGCUUGAUAUGAAAGCUCCAUAACCUUUCUCAAAAUAGCUCUAAUUUUCAAGCUUUUGUGCACUUUUGCAUAGAACCCUUGUACUCUUUCACUUUUUCAAUUUAAAACCCUUGAAGAAAAUCUUAUUUUCAUACUUUCUCUCACUAACUAGGUGUUUUAGAGAAAGAAAGAGGGAGCUUCAAUAUUAGUUUGAAAGUUUUUGGAAAGAAUUUCAAAUACAAACUACCAAGGUGAGUAGUGAAUUAGAAUUGAUUCUUAGUGUUGAAAAUGAUUAGUGUUUAGACUUAUGGGUGUUUUGGUAGUUAAGGUUGUUCAUUCACUUUAGAGUGAUUAGGAUAAUGAACAUAGAUAGCCACCUAGAUGGCAAGGGGAAGCUAGCUAAAAUAAAGCUUUUAGAAUUUAUAAGUAUGUGAAUUGACAUAAUGGUGAUGCUAAUGUGAUGGUAGGUUCCAACGAAGCUCCAUCGCCCUAUUUGGACCAUUAGGGAAGUUAGAGUCGACUAAAGGUUCAACAAAAUACCGGUGAGUGAACUUGCAUUUCAAAAUCGUUUUGGGAGGUAUAAUUGUAUUUGUAUGACACAUUUGAAUGAUUUAUUUCAACUUUUCUUUAAAGAUGUGUGCCGGGGAACAAGCCCUUGAUAAAAUAUUUUGAUGUUGUAAAAAUGUGAAAUGUGUAAAAAGAUGGACCUAUGUGCUCUUAUAUCGGGUAUAUAUAUAUAUAUGAAUAAUGUUGUGUAAUGAUAUUGACCUGGCUAUGUGCGAGUAGGAGUGCGCAUAAGCCGAUGCUGACCGGAUAAAGUGCGAGUGGGAGUGCGCAUAAGCCGAUGUUGACCCGGCUGUGUACGAGUAGGAGUGCGCAUAAGCCGAUGAUGACCCAGCCAUGUGCUAGUGAGAGUGCAUAUGAGCUGAUAAUGAUGGGAGGGUGUGCAUGAUGAUUGAUAUACAUAUAUACAUACAUAAAUAUGUGUGUUAUCAAAAGCUCAUGAAUAUGGUAUAUGGUUGUAAUGCAUGUGAAAAUUUGACAUGUUGAACUUUAGGAAUUUAUUUGUGUUUCAUGUUGCUUUUGUCAUUUCAGUAAGAUGACCUUUUCUUGAGGGAAUGGAGACUUUUUCUUAGUGCUCUGUUUCUCGCUGUAGCGAGAAACUCUCUGGUUUUAAGGGUUUUUACCAUACCUAGUUCUCGCUGCAGAGAGAAAGUUGCUGAAGCUUCUCACUGCAGCGAGAAACUUUCUGUUUUAGCCAACUGAAUCUUGCUGCAGUGAGAAAAUUUUUGUCCAUUAUGCUAUCUUGUUGGUUUUUGCCAUAUUUUUUCAUUUCAUUUACACCAUAGUAAAUUAUAGACUCCUAACAUUUAGGGGUUUAUUUAAUUAAGUUUGAAAUGAGAAAUUUUAGAGAGAAACCCUCGACCAUUUGAGAAACCCUCGUCCAGUUGAUAACUUGAGCCCAAAUUUCGCUGUAGCAAAAAGCUGCAGCGAGAAUGCCUUUCUGCUGCAGCGAGGACUCGUCGUUUACUUGACUUGAAUUGCAUGAAUGCUAUUAAGUUUUCACUCUUCAAAUCCUUUGUUGAGCAUAGACCCUUUUCAUUAAGUGAUUUACUCAUUUUGGGUUUGCAUGAGGGGUUUUGAUAAGAACUAAACCAAAGUGCAUUGUUUUAAAGAUAAAUGCAUCAUGAUUUCUUUAAAUUUUCCUUAUUGUUGCUUGUUCCCUUCCUUGUUCACUCACUAAGUGUAUACUCACCGUUUUCAACUUCAUGUUUUCAGAUCAAGAGGCAACCGAUAACUAGGUCAAGGUGCCCUUGUAGAUUCGUUUCCUUAGUAGGUAUCUCGGCAUUCAAUAGCCGUACGUCACUCGGGUCUUUUCGCUGGAAAUCGAGUCCCCUUUUUGAUAUGUAUAGACAUAUGUAUAUUUGAUUGGUAAUGCCACUACAAGUUGGUAAUGCUUAGUAUUAAUUUGAUUCAAAGUUAUGAAAUGUGACUUAGCAACUUUUGACGGAAUGAUGAACAGGUCAUAUUAAUAGGCUUGCUUGGGCUUAGUGGACUACGUCCAUUGGGCCUAUGCACUAGUCAUGACCCGAAAUUUAAGUUGUGACAUUUAUUUUAUACUCUGA